ACGGCUUUAAACAGAAAAUAAUAGGAAUAUAGAAUAAAUAAAAGAAUGUUGAAUUCUAGAAAGCCUUAACAUUGGAAGAAUAUGGUAUAGUGCUUAAGAAAGAACAAGUCAAUGACAAGCACAUACACUACUUGGACAUCAAUGUAAGAAUGGAAGGAGUUGGGAUACAGACUUCUGUCUAUAGAAAGAAAACCUACCAUCUGAUCCUAAUUCUGUGGUGGUCUAUGGACACAAUAGCAUACAAAGCAGCAGCGUUCAACUUUUAUUUCAGGAGAGCAUAUAACUACAUAGCUGAAGACCGUGAGCUAAAGAAAGAGCUCAAUUAUAUAUAUAUAAAGUGGGUUAUUAGCACGGAUAUACUAAAAGUUUGCUAUGUAAUAUACACUGUAAGAUUAGGAAACCCCUAGAGAGAGAGGAAGGAACGCCAAUCAACCUGAAAAGGAAAAGGAGAGAUACUUAACUGUAUCGUACCAAACCAGUAAACUAAAUG
rnacentral:lncRNA from 1 species